rnacentral:tRNA from 1 species
UCCCUGGUGGUCCAGUGGCUAGGACUCCGUGUUCCCAAUGCAGGGGGCCCAGGGUUCAAUUCCUGGUUGGGGAA